AAAUUGAAGAGUUUGAUCAUGGCUCAGAUUGAACGCUGGCGGCAGGCCUAACACAUGCAAGUCGAACGGUAACAGGAAACAGCUUGCUGUUUCGCUGACGAGUGGCGGACGGGUGAGUAAUGUCUGGGAAACUGCCUGAUGGAGGGGGAUAACUACUGGAAACGGUAGCUAAUACCGCAUAACGUCGCAAGACCAAAGAGGGGGACCUUCGGGCCUCUUGCCAUCGGAUGUGCCCAGAUGGGAUUAGCUAGUAGG
rnacentral:rRNA from 3 species